CUACUACUCCCUCCGUCCCAAAAUUCUUGUCUUAUAUUUGUCUAAAUACGGAUGUAUCAAGUCACGUUUUAGUAUUAGAUACAUCCGUAUCUAACAAAUCUAAGACAAGAAUUUUGGGAUGGAGGGAGUAUAUG
rnacentral:pre_miRNA from 1 species